UACGUAGGUGACAAGCGUUGUCCGGAUUUACUGGGCGUAAAGAGCGCGCAGGCGGUCGAUCAAGUCGAGUGUGAAAGCCCCCGGCUCAACUGGGGAGGGGUCAUUCGAUACUGAUCGACUCGAAGGCAGGAGAGGGUAGUGGAAUUCCCGGUGUAGUGGUGAAAUGCGUAGAUAUCGGGAGGAACACCAGUGGCGAAGGCGACUACCUGGCCUGUUCUUGACGCUGAGGCGCGAAAGCUAGGGGAGCAAACGGG
rnacentral:rRNA from 1 species